AAGUCGUAACAAGGUUUCCGUAGGUGAACCUGCGGAAGGAUCAUUACAAAAAAUAGAGUUGCAAAUUUUGCUUCUCUGCUCGAAGAGGAUUUUUUUUUUUUGGAGGGUUCGCCCGAAAAAAAGAAAAAAAAACCGACUUGAGAAAUCUUUUGUGCACCGUAAACAAAAUUCGCGUUUAUAAAUAUUCGUCUGAUGUACUUUUUACAGUUUUCGCGAAAUUCCAAUUAUUUUUUUUUUUUGGAAAUUUGCAAGAAAGAAAACAAUAAAAAAUAACUUUUAACAACGGAUCUCUUGGCUCUC
rnacentral:misc_RNA from 1 species